rnacentral:rRNA from 1 species
GACGAACGCUGGCGGUGUGCUUAACACAUGCAAGUCGAACGGUAAGGCCCUUUCGGGGGUACACGAGUGGCGAACGGGUGAGUAACACGUGAGUAACCUGCCCUCAUCUCUGGGAUAACAGUCGGAAACGGUUGCUAAUACUGGAUAUGAGCUUGCAAGGCAUCUUGUGGGUUGGAAAGAUUUUUUUUGGUUGGGAUGGACUCGCGGCCUAUCAGCUUGUUGGUGAGGUAGUGGCUCACCAAGGCUUCGACGGGUAGCCGGCCUGAGAGGGCGACCGGCCACAUUGGGACUGAGAUACGGCCCAAACUCCUACGGGAGGCAGCAGUGGGGAAUAUUGCACAAUGGACGGAAGUCUGAUGCAGCAACGCCGCGUGCGGGAUGACGGCCUUCGGGUUGUAAACCGCUUUCAAUUGUGACGAAGCUUUUUUGUGACGGUAGCAGUAGAAGAAGCACCGGCUAACUACGUG